GACGAACGCUGGCGGCGUGCUUAACACAUGCAAGUCGAACGGAAAGGCCCUGCUUUUGUGGGGUGCUCGAGUGGCGAACGGGUGAGUAACACGUGAGUAACCUGCCCUUGACUUUGGGAUAACUUCAGGAAACUGGGGCUAAUACCGGAUAGGAGCUCCUGCUGCAUGGUGGGGGUUGGAAAGUUUCGGCGGUUGGGGAUGGACUCGCGGCUUAUCAGCUUGUUGGUGGGGUAGUUGCUUACCAAGGCUUUGACGGGUAGCCGGCCUGAGAGGGCGACCGGCCACAUUGGGACUGAGAUACGGCCCAGACUCCUACGGGAGGCAGCAGUGGGGAAUAUUGCACAAUGGGCGGAAGCCUGAUGCAGCAACGCCGCGUGCGGGAUGACGGCCUUCGGGUUGUAAACCGCUUUCGCCUGUGACGAAGCGUGAGUGACGGUAAUGGGUAAAGAAGCACCGGCUAACUACGUG
rnacentral:rRNA from 1 species